GAGAGUGGGUAGUCCGCACGAGCGCACCCUGUCCUUUGUUGCCAGCACGUAAUGGUGGGAACUCAGGGGAGACUGCCGGUGAUAAACCGGAGGAAGGUGGGGAUGACGUCAAGUCAUCAUGGCCCUUACGGCCAGGGCUACACACGUCCUACAAUGGCGCGUACAGAGGGCUGCAAGCUAGCGAUAGUGAGCGAAUCCCAAAAAGCGCGUCGUAGUCCGGAUCGGAGUCUGCAACUCGACUCCGUGAAGUCGGAAUCGCUAGUAAUCGCGAAUCAGAAUGUCGCGGUGAAUACGUUCCCGGGCCUUGUACACACCGCCCGUCACACCAUGGGAGUGGGUUGCACCAGAAGUAGAUAGCUUAACCUUCGGAAGGGCGUUUACCACGGUGUGAUUCAUGACUGGGGUGAAGUCGUAACAAGGUAACCCUAGGGGAACCUGGGGUUGGAUCACCUCCUU
rnacentral:rRNA from 1 species